UGAUACCAGGGUCAAAAGGUCAUGCGUUCCAUGCUUGCAUGAAAAAGCAUGACUUUGGGACCCGCAAAACAUGAGAAAGUAGCCCGAGCAGGGCGGAUUUCGAAUGUUUUUAGGAUUGCGGGAGCACAAAGUGCGGAGCAAUCCGUAGGUAUUA
rnacentral:sRNA from 1 species